AAGAUAUGGUGUAUAGCAUGUAGAGUUUUGAUCUCUAAGGUACGAGAUAAUAUCGUUAUUUUAA
rnacentral:tRNA from 1 species